AUAAAGUGUUAAAAUUUCUAACUAAACAAAGAGGAGUAUAUAGAUUAGUGAUGUCAUUGUCCGAUAUCACCAUAGAGAUACAUAUAAAAUACAUAUAAAACUUUGUUUUACUAAAAGCAGAUGGGUAACAAUCUUUGAAU